rnacentral:lncRNA from 1 species
AAUUCCCUCCCUUUUAUUGCCGACCUGUACUGGUGCCUCCUCACUCCCCUUGACUCCAAUGCCGUCCUCUGUUUUCCCAGACCCUGUUUCCUCCCACCCCCCAGAAUGCCCCUCUUGGUUCAACCCAGCUCCUGCACCCUUCCACCCCAAUCGUGCCGUUGAGGGCAGUUACUUCCUCCUCACUUCCCCUGGUGUGGCUGGACAGGGCUGCUGGUCAGGAGGCAUGUAGUCAUGUUGGAAGGCAGCAGUCCCAGAGCCAGGAAAGGGGUUAAGGCCAUCACAAAGUUCAGCAAGAGGCGGGCUCUGUGUGGGUCUGGGGCCACCAGAACUCGUUGCUCAGAGGUCCCCAGUGCUGGGAGCAGGAGGUAAGUCCUGAAAUCAGUAGGGCAGGGGUGAGACUGCUGCCAGCUGGUCCUGAUGGUGACCCAUGAGGCAGGCAGGAGUGAAGCCUCCACCAGCCGACCGCUGCCUCCCCGUGUGGGGGAAGCCUGGCCCAGCAGGCUGAGAACCGCGCAGGAACCCCGCGUGCCUUCCACCGUCCUCUGCAUCUCAGCUCUGACUUGGCAGCCCUCCGACCUCGGCCUGGUUACUUCGCCUUUCAGCAGCUUCUUUAUGUGGCUGCAGUGAGAAUUAAGUGACAUAAUCCAUGUACAGUGCCAGGCACACAGAAGGUCAUUCAGGAAAGAUGAUUAAACUACUCACCCAGGGACACUGACUGGUAAGUGGCAGAGCCUGGGUUUGAACCCAGGUCUACUGAAUGCUAGAGCCUGUGGAAACUGGAGCUUU